CCGUGAGGGAUGAAGGCCUUCCGGGUUGUUAAACCUCUUUCAGCAGGGACGAAGCGAAAGUGACGGUACCUGCAGAAGAAGCACCGGCUAACUACGUGC
rnacentral:rRNA from 1 species